AAGUCGUAACAAGGUCUCCGUUGGUGAACCAGCGGAGGGAUCAUUACCGAGUGUAAAAACUCCCCAACCCAUUGUGAACAUACCCCGCGUUGCCUCGGCGGGCUGCCCCGCGUCUCCGGACGCGGGGUCCGCCGGCGGCCCACGAAACCCCUGUCACGCCUGGCAUCUCUGAACGCAAGCGAAAUCAGUUAAAACUUUCAACAACGGAUCUCUUGGUUCUG
rnacentral:misc_RNA from 1 species